AUAUUUACCUGGCAGGGGAGAUACCAUGAUCAAGAAGGUGGUUCACCCAGGGUGAGGCUCAGCCAUUGCACAUAGGUUGAGCUGACCUCUGUGAAUUCCCCAAAUGUGGGAAUUUUUACUGCAUAGUUUGUGGUAGUGGGGGGCUGCGUUCGCACUCUCCCCUG